GAGGUAACGGCUCACCAAGGCCACGAUGCAUAGCCGACCUGAGAGGGUGAUCGGCCACAUUGGGACUGAGACACGGCCCAAACUCCUACGGGAGGCAGCAGUAGGGAAUCUUCGGCAAUGGACGAAAGUCUGACCGAGCAACGCCGCGUGAGUGAAGAAGGUUUUCGGAUCGUAAAACUCUGUUGUUAGAGAAGAACAAGGAUGAGAGUAACUGUUCAUCCCUUGACGGUAUCUAACCAGAAAGCCACGGCUAACUACGUGCCAGCAGCCGCGGUAAUACGUAGGUGGCAAGCGUUGUCCGGAUUUAUUGGGCGUAAAGCGAGCGCAGGCGGUUUCUUAAGUCUGAUGUGAAAGCCCC
rnacentral:rRNA from 1 species